AUUGAACGCUGGCGGAAUGCUUUACACAUGCAAGUCGAACGGCAGCACGGACUUCGGUCUGGUGGCGAGUGGCGAACGGGUGAGUAAUGUAUCGGAACGUGCCCAGUCGUGGGGGAUAACGUAGUGAAAAUUUCGAUAAUACCGCAUACGAUCUAUGGAUGAAAGCGGGGGAUCGCAAGCCCUCGCGGGAUUGGAGCGGCCGAUAUCGGAUUAGGUAGUUGGUGGGGUAAAGGCCCACCAAGCCAACGAUCUGUAGCUGGUCUGAGAGGACGACCAGCCACACUGGAACUGAGACACGGUCCAGACUCCCACGGGAGGCAGCAGUGGAGAAUUUUGGACAAUGGGCGAAAGCCUGAUCCAGCCAUUCCGCGUGCAGGAUGAAGGCCCUCGGGUUGUAAACUGCUUUUGUACAGAACGAAAAGGUUUCUACUAAUACUAGGAGCUCAUGACGGUACUGUAAGAAUAAGCACCGGCUAACUACGUGCCAGCCGCCGCAGUAA
rnacentral:rRNA from 1 species